CAGUGAUAAACUGGAGGAAGGUGGGGAUGACGUCAAGUCAUCAUGGCCCUUACGACCAGGGCUACACACGUGCUACAAUGGCGCAUACAAAGAGAAGCGACCUCGCGAGAGCAAGCGGACCUCAUAAAGUGCGUCGUAGUCCGGAUUGGAGUCUGCAACUCGACUCCAUGAAGUCGGAAUCGCUAGUAAUCGUGGAUCAGAAUGCCACGGUGAAUACGUUCCCGGGCCUUGUACACACCGCCCGUCACACCAUGGGAGUGGGUUGCAAAAGAAGUAGG
rnacentral:rRNA from 1 species